rnacentral:rRNA from 1 species
AUGCGUGAUCAGGUCGGCAUCAACCUGGACGUCUUCCCCCUCGACCAUGAGUUCCUGGACGACUAUGGGCUAGAGGAAGAGGACGAGUGCGACAUCAAAGUGGAGCCUUUGUUCGAGGACGAGCUCGCCAACCAAAACGCCGGUCCAAAGCCGAAGCGCAAGAGCAAGCGCACGAAGGCGUACACAGCUGCCGAGGACAAGCUUCUUUACGAGUGUUGGCGAGACAUUGGACAAGACCCAAAGACGGGCGCCGAGCAAAAGCAUUCAACCUUUUGGACUCGUGUGCACCUCGAGUUUCAUGAGCGCAAGAAGUUUCCACCCUACCAAUUUGUGAGCACGCGCGGGUGGGUCUCCAUUUCCAAGCGGUGGAGGGUGAUCCAACAAGAGUGCAACAAGUUUUGUGCCACCCUUGAGAGCGUUAAGGCCCGCCCCGUGAGCGGCAUCGGCGUGCAAGACAUGGUAUGAUUGCAAGCAAGUCGGCCUCUUCUGUGCCAUCAAGAUCAUUCUUUUACGUCUUCAUUUGCUAUCACUUGCCCAUAUGCUUGCAUGGAAAUAUUUUGUAGGCAUUUCAAGCUUUGGAGGCAUUCAAGGUUCAACACAAUGGCAAGUGCUUCAACCUCUCCCAUUGCUAUCGGGUCAUCAAGGACGAAGAGAAGUUCAAGGCACAAUAUGCCGCGCUCAAGGCACGUGGGGGGAAGGGUGCCGUGGAGGAUGUUGGGGAGGGCGAGCCGGCACGACCGCGGGGAAGACCAACUCCAAGAAGGAGGACAAGCGAGAUGCGGCCACCAACGCCUUGAUCGCAAGUGUGGACGGCAUGAUGAAUAA